GUGGGGAAUUUUGGACAAUGGGCGAAAGCCUGAUCCAGCCAUGCCGCGUGCAGGAUGAAGGCCUUCGGGUUGUAAACUGCUUUUGUACGGAACGAAAAGACUCCUUCUAAUAAAGGGGGUCCAUGACGGUACCGUAAGAAUAAGCACCGGCUAACUACGUGCCAGCAGCCGCGGUAAUACGUAGGGUGCAAGCGUUAAUCGGAAUUACUGGGCGUAAAGCGUGCGCAGGCGGUUAUAUAAGACAGAUGUGAAAUCCCCGGGCUCAACCUGGGAACUGCAUUUGUGACUGUAUAGCUAGAGUACGGUAGAGGGGGAUGGAAUUCCGCGUGUAGCAGUGAAAUGCGUAGAUAUGCGGAGGAACACCGAUGGCGAAGGCAAUCCCCUGGGCCUGCACUGACGCUCAUGCACGAAAGCGUGGGGAGCAAACAGGAUUAGAAACCCGAGUAGUCC
rnacentral:rRNA from 1 species